rnacentral:rRNA from 1 species
AUGGCUACAGGGCCGUUGGAGCUGUGGAGCCACCAGUCGAUGCAGAUCCUGGUCCUUCUCAGCCUCGGGCUGCAGCUCGUCCUCUUCGUCUUCGCCGGGGUCCGCCGGCGUGAAGCCCUCCUCGUGCCGAGGUUCCUCCUGUGGCUAGCGUACCUCAUGGCCGACUCCACCGCCGUGUACACCGUCGGCCACAUGUCGUUCAGCAGCGCCUUGCGGUCCGUGCCCGUGCGUGAGCACCAGCUGGUUGCGUUCUGGGCGCCGUUCCUGCUGCUGCACCUGGGCGGCCCGGAUAACAUCACCGCCUAUGCGUUUCAGGACAACCAGCUCUGGCUCCGUCACCUCCAGAUCCUCGUCGUGCAGGUCCUUGGAGCGGCCUACGUUCUCUACAAGCACAUUGCCUUUGCUGGCGGCGGCGAGAACGAGGACUUGCUUCGGAUCGCCUCCUUCCUGAUGUUCGCCGUAGGCGUCGUCAAGUACGGUGAGAGGACGUGGGCGCUCAAGUGCAGCACCCUAGAGAGCAUCCGCGCCGCCAUCAAGACGCAGCCGCCGGCCAUCCACAACCAUUUCCAUCCUCAGGACAGAGUCACGGACGAGGAAUUCAUGUUGCGACGAGGUCACAACCUGUUCCACCUCUGCAAGUUCACCAUCGUCGAUUCCUCGGUGCUGGAGGAGGACUCCAUUUCCGGACUAGAAGUGUACACCGGCAAGCUCAUACAAGGCGUCGAGCUGUGGACGCUGAUGGAGAUCGAGCUCUCGCUCAUAUACGACGUGUUGUACACCAAGGCGGCCGUGGUCCACACCUUCUUCGGUUACCUGGUCCGCGUUGUCUCGCCCCUUACCGUCACCACCUCGCUACUGCUGUUCCAGUUCACCAGCAAGGACGGCCACAGCACAACCGACGUCGCCAUCACAUACAUCUUGCUGGUUGGCGCCGUGUUCAUGGAGACGACAUCACUCCUGAAUGCGCUGGCAUCCUCGUGGGUGUUCGCGUUCCUGAGCACCACCAGGUGGCAAUGGCUUCGGUACACAGCCUUGUGCAACGAGAGAUGGGACAAGCUCCGGCGCACACUUGCGUGGCUUCACCAUCUCGUCAAGGGUGAUAGGUACAAGUCAAGAAGGUGGUCCUACACCAUCGGGCAGUACAACUUGCUGCAUUUCUGCACACGCCCCGCAGACACGCCGCUCACCAGCCCACUGCUCGACCGUCGCGGACUUUACCACAAAGGUGUCCUCAAGGACACCCUCGGCGUUGAGUUCCAGGAGGACAUCAUCAUCUGGCACAUCGCCACCGAGGUCUUCCUCACCAAGAGCGAGAGAGCCAAGGCGGUGAACGCCGCGCCUGACGUGCACGCCAUCAGGGUCAUGUCCGACUACAUGAUGUUCCUCCUGGUGGAACGUCCCUACAUGCUGCCAGGCCAGUCCCAGAAAAAGUUGUACGAACGGACCUGCGAGAAGCUGAUUGCCAUGGGAUCGGCUGAUCCUAGGUACCCUAGCCGUAAACGCGUCGUCAAGGACCUGUUCCGUCUACAUGAUGCCCCGCAUUCCAGUAUUUCUAGGGUCACCGAGAGGGAGGAGCUCAUCAACAAAUUGUACCAUGAGUACAAGAACAGGGAGAUCAACCCCCUUGCUCCUCGUCUCACCCACAUGGCUCGGCUCGCCAAGGAGCUGCUAGAGAAGGAGAAGGAUGGCACGACCGACUCCUUGGACCUUGUCCUUGAUGUGUGGAUGGGCAUUCUAGUCUACGCGAGCAAUAAGUGCACCAGGGAGUCCCAUGCCCAGAAGCUCAACAGUGGUGGUGAACUGACGACCGUCUUGUGGAUUAUGGCAGAAUACAUCUCGAUUGCCCAAAGAGACGAUCUGCCGUUCGACUGCCGGCUCCUCGUCUUGGCAGCAAGAUCAACUGAUUUUGGACCUGUGUACUGCCAGCCGACUGCAGAGGACAGAGUGCAAAGAGGAGACGAGCAAUUAGUAAGUAUGGCAGCAGGGCCGCUGGAGCUGUGGAACCACCAGUCGAUGCAGAUCCUGGUCCUCCUCAGCUUCGGGCUCCAACUCGUCCUCUUUUUCUUCGCCGGUGUCCGCCGGCGUGAGGCCCUCCUGCCGAGGCUCCUCCUGUGGCUAGCGUACAUCAUGGCCGACUCCACCGCCGUGUACGCCGUCGGCCACAUGGCGUUCAGAAGCGUCGUGCGGCCCGUGCGUGAGCACCAGCUGGUUGCGUUCUGGGCGCCGUUCCUGCUGCUGCACCUGGGCGGCCCGGAUAACAUCACCGCCUACGCGUUUCAGGACAACCAGCUCUGGCUCCGUCACCUCCAGAUCCUCGUCGUGCAGGUCCUCGGAGCGGCCUACGUCCUCUACAAGCACAUCGCCUUCGCCGGCGGCGGCCAGGACGGGAAGCUGCUCCGGAUCGCCUCGUAUUUGAUGUUCAUCGUCGGCGUUGUCAAGUACGGGGAGAGGACGUGGGCGCUCAAGUGCAGCACCCUGGAGAGCAUCGGCGCCUCCAUGGAGACGCAACCGCCGGCCUUCCACAACCAUUUCCACCCUCAGGACAAAGCCACGGACGGGGAGUUCCACCUGCGACGAGCUCACAAGAUGUUCCACCUCUCCAAGUUCACCAUCGUCGAUUCCGGCUCGGUGGUCGAGGAGGGCUCCAUGAACAGACACGGACUGGACGUGUCCAUCGGCAAGCUGUUACAUGGCGUCGAGCUGUGGACCCUGAUAGAGAUCCAGCUCUCCCUCAUAUACGACGUGCUUUACACCAAGGCGGCCGUGGUCCACACCUUCUCCGGCUACCUGGUCCGCGUCGUCUCGCCCCUUACCGUCACCACCUCGCUGCUGCUGUUCCAGUUCACCUCCAAGGACGGUCACAGCACAACCGACGUCGCCAUCACAUACGUCUUGCUGGGUGGCGCCGUGCUCAUGGAGACGACGUCGCUCCUGAAUGCGUUGGCAUCAUCCUGGACGUUCGCGUUCCUGAGCGUCACUAGAUGGCGAUGGCUUCGCUACACAACCCUGUGCAACGAGAGAUGGGACAGAUUCCGGCGCGCCGUCAUGUGGCUUCACCGUCUCGUCAAGCGAGGGGCUGGCGGUGACAGUUGGUACAAGUCAAGAAGGUGGUCAAACUCCAUCGGGCAGUACAACUUGUUGCACUUCUGCACACGCCCCGCUGACGCACCGCUCACCAGCCCUCUGCUGGGUAGGCUGGCUAGGGCGCUGGGACUCAACAAGUGGUGGAACAGGAAGCACUACUCAGGGACCGCCGAGAUAACCGAUCCGAUCAGGCGUCAUAUCUCGGUGUACAUGAGCCGGCUGUACAGCAAGGGGAAGUUCAACACUGGCAUGCUGAGGAAGAAGUGGGGUCAGGACCCGCUGGAACGCCGCGGGCUUUACCAUGGAGGCGUCCUCAAGGACUCCCUCGGCGUCGAGUUCCUGGAGGGCAUCAUCAUCUGGCACAUUGCCACCGAGAUCUUCCUCACCAAGAGCGAGAGAGCCAAGUCUGUGGAAGCUGCGCCUGACGUGCACACCAUUAGAGUCAUGUCCGACUACAUGAUGUUCCUCGUGUUGGAAUGUCCCUACAUGCUGCCAGGCAUGCCCCAAAAAAGGUUGUACCACCGGGCCUUGGAGAGGCUGGUCACCAUGCGAUCCGCUGAUCCUAGGUACCCGAGCCGUGCACGCGUCAUCAAGGAUUUGUUUCGGAUGCGCGAUGCCCCAAACUCCAGCAUUUCUAGGGUUGCCGAGAGGGAGGAGCUCGCCAACAACUUGUAUGAUGAAUACGAGGACCGGGAGUUCAGCCACCUUGCUCCUCGUCUCACUCACAUGGCUCGACUCGCCAAGGAGCUGCUGGAGAAGGAGAAGGAUGGCACGACCGACUCCUUGGGGCUUGUCCUUGACGUGUGGAUGGACAUUCUCGUCUACGGGAGCACCAAGUGCAGCAGAGAGUUCCAUGUCCAGAAGCUCAACAGUGGUGGGGAGCUGAUCACCAUCGUGUGGCUUAUGGCAGAAUACAUCUACCAUGCAUCGCUUGUCCAAACAGAUGAUGUAGUAUAA